rnacentral:rRNA from 1 species
UACGUAGGGGGCUAGCAUUGUCCGGAUUUAUUGGGCGUAAAGAGCGUGUAGGCGGCCAGAUAGGUCUGCUGUGAAAACUCGAGGCUCAACCUCGAGAUGUCGGCGGAAACCAUUUGGCUAGAGUCCGGAAGAGGAAAGUGGAAUUCCUGGUGUAGCGGUGAAAUGCGCAGAUAUCAGGAAGAACACCCGUGGCUAAGGCGGCUCUCUAGUACGGUACUGACGCUGAGACGCGAAAGCGUGGGGAGCGAACAGG